rnacentral:misc_RNA from 1 species
AUUACAAUUAAACAUGAUAAUCCUCACAACAGGGGAUUUUGAGAGAGAAAAAAAAUGGCAACCUUAAAGAUCUAAAAUUUUUUCAAAAUAUUGAAAGCAAAAGAAUAAAACCUAACCUGGGUUCUAAAUUUUUCUGACAUUAACAACUAAGAGGUUUCUCACCUUCCUGACUUAAACUUUCUGUUGUACUAAAAAUGGUGAAAAUGAAUCAUCUCCUUCAAGUAAGGGCUACACUAACUCCCCCCUUUGCCUUGUUACUAUGGAUCUUUUCUUCCCAUGCCCGACGACAAAAAUCGAAAAAAAGGCAUGUUAUAUACCAAAAUAUAACUGUAGUUAACUACCUCCAUCGAAGCAACUUCAGUUCUGUUGCGCGACGAGAUGAUCAAGCUGCAUUUGUUCCAGCCAUGCUCCUAAUGCAGCAUGAUCGACUGCCUCCAUUUGCGAGUUCAUGUUAGAACUCUCACCAGAAGAUACAAAACUAUCGCCACCCAAAUUGGGAUGAGCCUGCUUUUCUUUUAUCUCAGUUGGAGAUUCUUUCACAAGUGAUUGAACCCAUGAUAAAUCUGGCUCUUCUCCAUUGUUCCCGAGCUCAAAAGACGAUGAUCGCCGAAGCUUACCCAUUUCAUCCG